ensembl:snRNA Gm23013 U6 spliceosomal RNA
GUGCUUGUUUAGGCAGUGCAUCCUAAAUUUGGGACAAUACAAAGAAGAUUAGCACUGCCCCUACAAAAGGAUGACUUGCAAAUUUAUGAGGCAUUUCAUAUUUUU